rfam:Selaginella moellendorffii unplaced genomic scaffold SELMOscaffold_57, whole genome shotgun sequence.
GGCCUGUGAUGACAUCUUAAUACUUGCUACUCUUGAUUGCUUAGAUGAUGACGCUUUGUCCACCAAGAUCUCUGAGGCC